UUGACGCAUCCAAGAGAGAGAGUGUGUGUGUUUGAGUUCUGUUGACAUUCGCUAAUUUCACCCGUUGUGAUGAAAUUUGGUUGAAUCCUUCUCGUCUUCAAGAUAUGACGUCCAUGUAAGCAAGGAGAGUUGAUGGAAAACACCCAAAUUCUGUGCAAUGCCAAGGGGAAUUGAUGAAAUCUAGGGUUUGUAUGGGAUGGUUGCAGCGGAGGCCAGUUUACCAAGAUCAGGUCCUAAAGGAAUUACAUGUAGAAGAUAGGAGUUCCAUUUUGGGUUCUAUGGAUAACGACGAGGCUAGUACAUCUGGAUCAAAUUUAGAAAUUCACUCUGGGUUUCGCAAUACAUUGCAUUCUAGUGUCUACGGGUUCACCCAGCAGAACCUUCCAGCAUGUAAGCCUGUAUUGACACCAGGAUGGGUUAUCACUAUGUUCUUGUCUGUUGGAUUCAUCUGCAUUCCUAUUGGAGUUGCUGCUCUCCUGGCCUCUCAAAGUGUUGUGGAGAUUGUAGACCGUUAUGAUACAGAAUGUAUACCUGAGGUGUUCAGAGACAACAAAGUGGCAUAUAUCAAAGAUGACUCUAUUUCUAAGAACUGUACUCGAAUUUUGAAGGUUCCCAGCUACAUGAAAGCUCCAAUUUAUGUCUAUUAUCAGCUUGAUAGCUUCUAUCAGAACCAUCGGAGGUAUGUUAAAAGCAGAAGUGACCGCCAGCUUUUGUAUGGGUUGAAAUACACGGACACUGCAUCAUGCAAACCUGAAGAGACCGGCAAUGGACUACCCAUCGUCCCAUGUGGUUUGGUCGCCUGGAGCUUGUUUAAUGACACCUACAAUUUUGUUCAUGAGUCAGUAGAACUAAAGGUGAACCGGAAAAAUAUAGCUUGGAAGAGCGACCGAGAACACAAGUUUGGGAAGGAUGUUUACCCCUUCAAUUUUCAGAAUGGAUCCUUAAUUGGUGGAGCAAAACUUGACCCCCAAAUUCCUCUAAGUGAGCAAGAGGAUCUCAUGGUGUGGAUGCGCACUGCUGCACUGCCCAGCUUUCGAAAGUUGUAUGGAGUGAUAGAGAUUGAUCUAGAUGCAGAUGAGAUUCUCACAGUUUUUCUCUCUAACAAUUACAACACUUACAGUUUUGGGGGGAAGAAGAGGUUGGUCCUCUCGACGAAGAGCUGGUUGGGCGGGAAGAAUAACUUUCUUGCGGUGGCCUGUCUUGCUGUUGGGUCUUCCUGUAUCUUCAUGGCCUUGCUAUUCGUACUUCUCCAUGUCAGAAACCCAAGGACUUUUGGUGAUCCGACCUACUUAACCUUGGACAGGAAAAGCAAUUUUGCCUAGGGACUGAGUGGCCCUGAACUUUAGAAGACUUUUCUGAAGUUAUCAUAUGAGCAGGAGCGCUCUCAUCCCAUGGCUGCAAAUUCAUUGAUGCCUUUGCCAUUCCACCGCAAAUUUUUUGUUCUAGAGCCAUGCAAACUCGGUUUGCCCAAGGGUCCCUUGCAAAAAUAAAGGACUUAGAAGUUCUAAGGAUUUAAGAAGCUAUGAGUUUGCAGAGAAGAUGGCAACUGUGGGUUGGUGGUGCCAUGUGAAUGGACGGUUGAGAUUUUGGGGUGCUUGCGUGGAGGGCUGAGAUUUGAAAAGACGGAUUUGCUCUUUGGGGACCAUAGUCUUUUUUAUAUUGGGAAGAAAGAGACACUCCUUUAUAUGUCUUUGAUCCCAAAUCCCAAUCUUUUUACUAAUUGGAGGGAAGCCUAGAAAAUAGAAAGAUGCCUAAUUUUCGGUGUCGGUGUCCAAUAGUGAACCAAAGGUUAGCCAGGUCUUAUUAGGAUUUGGUUUUAAAUGUUAGAAGGCAAUGUUCUAAAGGGGAUUUUCUAUGCGGAUCGUAGAUUCGGAUGGGAACCGAUCAUGAUCAAAUUGGUUUAAGGAUGGUAUGGUUGUCCGGGCAUGGUUCUCCCCUAAAUAUAAAUUGAUAUUUUUAGUCUUUCAUGUGACCUCGUUCAAACAUUACCGGGAUGUUGUAUACCAUGUCAAUGUGUAGCAAUAACAUCUACUGUGAUUGUCCAUUCCAAA